AGAUGGGUCUUGUUCUGUCACCUGGGCUGGAGUACAGUGAUGUUGUCAUAGCUCACUACAGUCUCAAAUUCCUGGGCUCAAGGGAUCCUCCCACCUCAGCCUCCCAGGAUUUCUUUUCUCCUUGAGAAGUAGAUAGAGGAUCUGAGGACAGCAGCCAUAAGCCAUGGCCUGCUUUGAAGACCAGCAGAUGGGAGAGAUAGGCAUCCUGAGACAUUUUUUCUUUGGUAUCCUCAACACUACUAUCAAUAUGUUUGUUGGAAGGGGCAUGAUUAUGCUGCAAAAAAAUCAGCAUAUUACCUUGAACCUCACAAAGACUGGACUAGGACCUGCAGACUUCUGUUCAGUUCCAGAUUAUUUGGAGGGCCUGAAGAGACCCUUGGGGUCAUGGGCAUCAGAAGAUUCCCUGACAACUGAUCUGGGCAUCACAUCAUGCAUGCAAAGGAAGAUUUAACAGCACCACAGCAGAGCCAUGCAUAGGAGCACAUAAUCAUUCAAGCUCCAGGACAUGAGAGGGGAAGGAAUCAUCAGCUCUGGGAAGGGCAAAUUCCAGAGGGCCUUCUGGAGGUGACCCUUGAGCCAUGUUAAAGAUGGAGAGGGACUGUACCUUUGGCAGAAGUAGCAGAGAGGAAGACAUCAGCACUGGGAGACCUGGAGAGUGCAAAGACAAGGAGAAGAGAAUGCUGAGGCACUGUGCUGAUGAGUGGUAAGGGUCUGCUCCCAUGGGUGGACAGGUUGAAGGUGGCCUUGAUGAUCAGGCAGAAGUGGAUGGGCUUGAUAAAUGAACUAUGAACCAGUGCAACAUACCCUGGCAAGAGAAACACUGUAAAUGUGGUGUUUAAGGUAGCUAUUUGGAGAGUAUUUGUUUUUGGUCUUUGAACAAGUAACUAGGAAAAAUAAUUAACUUUUUAUUUUGAAGUAAACUUAGAGGAAAGUUGCAAACAUAGUACAGAGAUUUCCCAUUUACCUUUCACUCAGCUUCCCCAAUAACAAGUCACAUACAAUAAUACUAUUACCAAACCCAGCAAAUCAGCAUUGGCAAAAUAUUAUUAAAUAAUUUGCAGACAUUGUUCAAAUUCCUGCAGUUUUCCCACUACUCUCUGUUGUUUUACUGGUCCAGGAUCCAAUCCAGGAUUCCACUUUGCAUGUAGUGAUUAUGUCUCCUUCAUCUUCUCCACACUGAGACAUUUCUUCAGGUUUUCUUUGUCUUUCAUGACCUUGACACUUUUGGAGAGUCCAGACUAGUUAUUUUGUGGAAUGUCCCUCAGUUUGGGUUUGUCUGGUGUUUUCUUAUGAUUAGAUUGAGAUUGUGGAUUUUUGGCAAGAAUACCACUGAAACGAUGAUGUCUUCUGGGCACACCUCACCAAUGGGUACAUGGUAUCAGUAUGUCUUACUAUUGGUGAUAUUAAUUUUGAUCAUAUGGCCAAAAUAGGCCUACCAAGUUUCUGCAAUGUGAAGUUACUAUUAGGAAAAAAAAUGGUUUGAAAUCACAUUUCAUGGGAUCUUAUUACGUUCUUACAGAUUGAUCUGAUUAUGUAUUUGUCUUUAAAAUGGGUUGCUCAUUCAGUCAUUCAGUUAUUACUUACUGAGGACUUACUAUGUGUCAGGCAUUGUGCUGGAAAUGGCCGUGAACAAGACAGAUGGGGUCCCCACCUUUGUGGAAUCUAGUGGGAGAAAACAUUAAACUGAACAUCACCAGGUUGGAGUAGAAACACGUAACAAGGAGCUGUAAGUAGUUUGAGAGUAGGGAAAUGCAUGGUGGCAGGGUCAGGGGAAGAUGGUGAAGCUGAGACCUGAGGGGCAAUGAGAGUUAUUCAGGGGGAGGGGGAUUGACUCUUAGGAGGGAGCUCCUUUCUGACUAUUUUUUAGCUUCCAUUUUUAAUUAGAGAAAUUUAUAUUCAUUAUUAGAAAACAAAUUAAGAGUGCAGUAUUUUUUAGUAUCUAAGGUGACCAAUAAUAAAUUGAGAUAAUUUAUUUGACAAGUUUUGUCUUGUAAAACUAUUCGUUAAAUAAAGGUAUUCUGAAUGGAGACAAUAAGACAAUACAUGUAAAAAUAUUUGGGCUGAAAGACUUACAUAUUUGGAUUAAAAUAUUAGACAUAAGACUAUCUUCCAUUUAGCAGAAUUGACUGUGAGUUUACCAGGUAACUCAGCACUUAUAGAGAGAGUAUUUUCUCAAUUAAGAGUAGUAUGGUGUACAGAAAAGAGUCAUUGAGGGUGUCAACAAUUUUAAAAUUAUAAAUCAUAACAUGCACCUAUGAAGAAGAUUACAGGUUAUUUUAUGAAAAUAAGACCACAUUAAAAAUGCAUUGAGAAAUCUCACUGAUGGCGUUAGAGACAGAUACAGUUAAGAAACAGAUUAAAAUGCGUGAACAUGUAUCCAAAAUAAUUAUUCUACUUGGGUUAUAUUUUAAUAUUCAGAUAAUCAAAAUAAAGCAAUUUUAAAUAUUGCUUUAAUGUACACAGUAUAUGUUACUUUUAUUUUUUGGAAAUUAAUUUAUUUUUGAAAAUACUUUUUGAACUGUUUUAAAGAUCUAUCAAUAAAAUAAAAUAGUAACUU